GGAGACUGAACAGCUAUCUCCCAGCAUAACAUAUAUGAUUUGUCCUUCUCAAAUAAAUCUAUUUCCCUCCCCCUGAAUUGCUUUGGAGUUUGUAUUAUUGAAGAAUAACAUCAAUUGCUAACACUUGGUGCCAUGACCUGGAUGAUUUGGUCUGAACAACAACAACCAGAAAAACGUAUCAACUGUGUGUUGAUCCAGAGUAAAGAGAGAAGGCUGCGCACAACCCACUUUGGGGAGUCAACUCUUUAUCUCCUGAUUGAUGGCAGAAUUGCUGGGUUAUGAGAAUCUACCGUCUGAGGCUGCAGCAAUAUCUCUUGACUGUACCUGAAACGAUACAAGAUCACCGGUGAAGUGCAACCAGUGGAACGGAAGAAGAAUUCCUCACUACCGGCAGACUGUCAAAACAUAACUUCUAAUAGUUAUCUAUGUGGGACUGAUACCAGUGUGGAAGAGCUGGUCACUUCUAAAGGACUUGGUGAAUGAUUACCUUGACAAUAGGACGAUUAAAUAUUGUUGUCUUGCAGACAAGUGAAAGACAUUUUAAAUGAUUUUCCUUGUGAGUUUCCUCCUAAUACAGGAUGUGGGUUGUGUUUCCAUUUCUAACACAGCGAUGGAUGAGGGACACUCGGGCGUCAAUACGUUACUAGCUCUCUCUCUACACUAUGCCACAGUAGUCAAUCAAAGUAAUUGUUGGGUUUGUACGUACAAACCAUUCACAUGAAGGGCAGGUAUUCCAUUAGGGGCUAUUCCUUUAAACCAGAGUGAAAUGUUGGGUAUAUGGAGAGAUGUUAACUGGUAUAAGACAAAUAUUGGUACUAAUUUGGGUAAGAAUGUUGCGUAUCAACAUGCGAGAGUACCUAGUUCUGCAGACAGGUGCUGGAGGAGGCCUGAGACUCCUGGAUGUGUGUCCAUUCAACAACUUGUGGAUGAGUUGGGGGUGGAGCUGACAUCCUGGAGUGAUAGGUAACUUCCUUCAUUUGAGAUUACCAAUGACACAAAUCAGCGACCGCCUUACCUAGUUCUUACACAUGCCCCUGUUGGGUGGUUAUGGUUUAAUAGGUCACUCUCUCGGAAUUUGUCUCAACUGCACCAGGACGCGUUUGUCAAAGCAGGACAGAGUAAGUGUGAUCAGACAACAGAUCUAUCUAUCUGUCCGUGACAGUACUAAGGUUGCGGAAUGUCUAGUGUCUGUUGAAUGGACACUCAGUAAUGGCACUGGGACUACUUUCUAUGCCAAUACCUUUGGUAACACCAUCAACAAUGGUAUGAUAGCUCCUGGGACUUACUUUCUCUGUGGAUCCUAUGCCUAUUCCUGGUUACCAAAGUUGUGGCAAGGGUCGGGUUAUUAGGGUAGUGUUAUUGGGGUCGGGUUAUUUGGGAUAUGUCGUGACAUUCGGUGAAUUCUCUUUUUUCACAGCGUCAUAAACGUGUGAUUACAGAAACGGAGAGAUUCUUUGCGAUUGCUUUUCCAUCUUAUGGUAUUCUUUCGAUAGCAUGGGAAGUUAUUAAUACGACUAGCCCUUUGGGAAUCCUAGCUAAUAGUACAGUUGAGAGUCUUGAGUUAAUUACAGCUGAGAUGGUUGCCAUUCGGACUGUGGCAUUGCAAAAUCGUUUGGCCCUUGAUUAUCUUCUGUCCGCACAAGGGGUUGCAUGUGCUGUUAUUGGUGCUGGAGGCUGUACAAAUAUCCCUGAUCAUUCUGAGGAAAUAACUGACCUAAUCCAAAAGAUCAGGACUGAGGGCUCUAAAUAUCAUGAUUACAAUCCAGAUGAUUUAGGCUUAGUCAUGUGGUUGUCUUCCACAUUCGGUACAUGGGGAAGUUUUUUGGUGAGCAUGAUACUUCCAAUAGUGGGAGUUGUGGUUAUUUCUCUCAUCCUCAUCCAGGUUAUCAAGUGUGCUAUUGCCCGAUGUUUGUCUGCUAAAAUCCGACGUUUACGUGAUAGGGAAUAUCAUAAGAUUCAUCAACCGUGUCCUUUUGGAGAUAGGUGUCAGUGGUGUUCACAAGAAUGUGGUAGGGAUCAUAAGGGUCUUCAUCAUCUCACCAAGCCUCAUGAUUGUGGUCAAUGUGCCUGUGGUAACUGUCCUCGGUGCUGUAAUGAACCAUGUUCUCUCAGAUGUGGUAUCACACUUGUUAAUACCUCUUUUCUAUAACUUUGUGUGAAAUCUAUUUCUUAUUGCAACAGCAUUUAAAAUAUGCCCGUUGUGUUUUAUAGGAAUGCAAGGUGUUUAAUCUGAACGAUUUUAUGCUUACUGCUAAUGUUUAUAUUCUGUCUAUUUUUUCAUGCUUUUUAUUGUUUUCUAAAAAGACCUAAACCUAUUUUUUCUCCCCCUGAUUUGCUUCGGAGUUUGUGUUAUUGAAGAAUAACAUAAAUUGCUAACAUCCUCAUUCAUAUUUGAACUGUAAUUCUAAAAGGAGAGUGAUGCAUGUGAUGCCUUGCAUGUUGCCCUGCUGAGGUGAGUUCAUGGUGUUUAUGUUCCAGAACAGGAUUCUAAGCCAGUCUGGUCCACUCCCGUCUCUGACCAUGUCCCCAAACUGCCAAUGUGUCUGUUGUUUACACAGUCCUAACACAACAUGACAAGGUCGAAUGGCGACCGCAGGCCUUCUGGUGACCGUUGCCUGCUGACUGUUGCCAAGGUGGCUAUUUCCCUGGCAAGUGUUGCCCCAGAAACCAUUGCCUGGCAACCACACACACGCACACGCACACAGUCCCCUUACGUGGCAUGCAAAAGGCCCAGUGCGUCGUGGUGGUUGAGACAUGCCCACUGGCGGAGCAGGGCAUAGAUGUCUGACAGACAUGCCCACUCCCAGCGGGGGGCACUAGCCAGCACCAGGGGCAGAGCACCACUCUCUGACUGGCAGAAUGAACGCUUCUCCCACAACAGACGCUUGUCCUCUGGAGUCAACCUGGACAGAUAGAGGGGAGAGAGCGAGGAGAAAUAUAAACACCUUACAUGCAUACUUAGCUUGAGAGUGAGAGAAAGAGAGGGGGAUGUGGAGAGGGGGAGGGGUUAAAGAGGGGAAGAGGGAGUAAAACAAUGCAUACUUGGAAUACUUUCUCACAAUGAAAGGAAAAGAAAGAGGGAAAGAGAGUGUGGUGUUGUUUACUGCAGCAUUAGAUGGCCAUUCUCCGCUGUAAAAAAGAAAAAGAAAAGAUAGAUUACCUUUGUAUAAAUGUGGCCAACACGUAUCAAUGAUGUCUUUGUUCUGUCUUCAUGAUAACAUUACUCUGUUUCUCCUUGCUUUGGCCACCCUCAUUCGAAACGCGGUUACACCAAUGAAAAAAACUAUCAAGCUGAAUUUGAAACAGGCAUGAAACAAAGACUAAAAGAGACUGAUCGGAGCGGGUGUGUAAGGGAGAGGGGGACAGAUGGAGAGAGGGAGUAGAGGAGAGACAAAAGGUAGAGGAAGAACGAUAAAGACAGAUAAAGUGACUGGGAGAAGGGAGAAUAAACAGUAGAUGUACCUUGUGGAGAAACCGUGAAAAUGUCAACUGACAACUAAAAGGUCAGUGAGUACAUUCAAUCUCAUCACACACACACGCAACACACACGUUAAUCCAUGUUUGUUUGAAUCUCUGCCUAAAUCAACACACACAGGUUUCUCUAACUGCUCUAGCAGACACACACAGGGCAGAGGGCUGUUAACGUAUGAUGAGUUCUCCUUGGUACGGUUGUUUCCAUUGGCUGAAUAUACUGUGUCAUUGUUGGGAUUGGAUGAUCCAGCUGGACAACAGUUGUUGCUAUUGGAUGAGCUCCUCUAAUCUACUUCCUGCUUGGAGCCUGAUACUGGAUGGCACUGAAGCCAGUACACUUGUUUGGAAACACUGCACCUUAAGAGAAUGUUCUUUAAAUAAUAAUUUGUCAACGCUGAAAUAUCCGCUCUUCUUCAUCUGCUGGUAGUUGCCAUGUAAUAUUAAACGUAUCCUGACCAUGAAUGGUCAUUUGUUGACCAUGAA